GACGAACGCUGGCGGCGUGCUUAACACAUGCAAGUCGAACGGAAAGGCCCUGCUUUUGUGGGGUGCUCGAGUGGCGAACGGGUGAGUAACACGUGAGUAGCCUGCCCUUGACUUUGGGAUAACUUCAGGAAACUGGGGCUAAUACCGGAUAGGAGCUCCUGCUGCAUGGUGGGGGUUGGAAAGUUUCGGCGGUUGGGGAUGAACUCGCGGCUUAUCAGCUUGUUGGUGGGGUAGUGGCUUACCAAGGCUUUGACGGGUAGCCGGCCUGAGAGGGUGACCGGCCACAUUGGGACUGAGAUACGGCCCAGACUCCUACGGGAGGCAGCAGUGGGGAAUAUUGCACAAUGGGCGGAAGCCUGAUGCAGCAACGCCGCGUGCGGGAUGACGGCCUUCGGGUUGUAAACCGCUUUCGCCUGUGACGAAGCGUGAGUGACGGUAAUGGGUAAAGAAGCACCGGCUAACUACGUG
rnacentral:rRNA from 1 species